rnacentral:rRNA from 1 species
UUGAUCAUGGCUCAGAUUGAACGCUGGCGGCAUGCCUUACACAUGCAAGUCGAACGGCAGCACGGGAGCAAUCCUGGUGGCGAGUGGCGAACGGGUGAGUAAUGUAUCGGAACGUACCUUUCAGUGGGGGAUAACGUAGCGAAAGUUACGCUAAUACCGCAUAUUCGGUGAACAGGAAAGCAGGGGAUCGCAAGACCUUGCGCUGAUUGAGCGGCCGAUAUCAGAUUAGCUAGUUGGUGGGGUAAAGGCCUACCAAGGCGACGAUCUGUAGCGGGUCUGAGAGGAUGAUCCGCCACACUGGAACUGAGACACGGUCCAGACUCCUACGGGAGGCAGCAGUGGGGAAUUUUGGACAAUGGGGGCAACCCUGAUCCAGCCAUGCCGCGUGAGUGAAGAAGGCCUUCGGGUUGUAAAGCUCUUUCAGCCGGGAAGAAAUCGCAUGGGCUAAUACCCUGUGUGGAUGACGGUACCGGAAUAAGAAGCACCGGCUAACUACGUGCCAGCAGCCGCGGUAAUACGUAGGGUGCGAGCGUUAAUCGGAAUUACUGGGCGUAAAGCGUGCGCAGGCGGUUUAGUAAGACAGGCGUGAAAUCCCCGGGCUCAACCUGGGAACUGCGCUUGUGACUGCUAAGCUAGAGUACGGCAGAGGGGGGGUGGAAUUCCACGUGUAGCAGUGAAAUGCGUAGAGAUGUGGAGGAACACCAAUGGCGAAGCAGCCCCCUGGGUCGAUACUGACGCUCAUGCACGAAAGCGUGGGUAGCAAACAGGAUUAGAUACCCUGGUAGUCCACGCCCUAAACGAUGUCAACUAGGUGUUGGGUGGGUAAAACCAUU